AGUGUGUAAAGCCCAGCUCUGAAUUUUCGGUUGCACCGCUCAUCAUCAUCCAUCUCAGAGAAUAGGCAAAAUCUGCAACGAUAUGAAUGGCCUUAGAAUUAAAGGAUGUACAUCUACAACUACAGCAGAAUUAACUGUUAUGAAUUUUUUUGCAGGAGUGAACACGAGCUUUGUAAUUCUAUGUUUAUUUUAUGGAGCGGUACUGGCAUUAUUAAAAACAAUCCUGUUAGUAUUAUCAUUUUUCGGGUCUUCAAGAAACACAUCUCUUCUGUGCUAGAUCUAGAUACGCCCCGAGCGCAGUAUAAGUUAUUUGAAAUCGUGGAAAAGCAACCUGAAAAUUGUCUGAAGGCAUGAAGACCAGAAUUCAGAGUAAACGGUUGUAAAAUACCAAGAAACACUUCAUGGAAUAUAUUUGAUUACUCAGCAUUAAACAACCAAACAAGAGCAGUAAAAAAUGACCGAAGGAUGAUUUUGGCAGGCAUUUUAUGAAAAUAAUCUAGCCUCGUUGUACUGAACACUGAAAUGAAUCAUCAACUAAGAAUUUUAAAUUCCCGUUGAAUUCCUAUUGGGAUUCAAAUUUAGAGCAAAAGAAACCUUGCAUUGUUCAUCGAAGGGUAAAAUUCUCAGGGCGUCUUGAUUCUGGACCACUCAAAUAUCAUGGAGGUUAUACCAUAUCCAUUCAGUAAAAUCUAUAACAAAACAAAUGUACGCAUACAUAUCAGGAUGAAAUUCCUUAUAUAGAUCAUUAUAACUAAGGCAACAAAUAAUAUUUCGGGCUACUACCGUGUAUGCUUUAAUCAUAGUAUUUUUCACUGCAAAUAAUAUUUGCUCUUUGUCAAAACAUACGAGAAUGUAAGGAAAAAGUCAUACACAAGGGGAAGAGAAAUACGUCAUGUAACAUUCUUCAAGCCAAAUAAAUAUUAGUAGAAUCCUACAGGAGAGACUCACCAUAAAAUUGGUUCCAUUCUUUGAAUAACCACUUCAUGCAAAAUCCCUUACAAUAUAUUCAGACCAAUCCAUCGGCCAAAAAAUUGUAGUGUUCUUCACCACUGAACUCUGAUUCAAGAACUGAAGGGUAUGUCAAUUGCAUAUACUAUCAUGCAUGUUUUCAUCUGUCUUUUCCCCUCCAAAUGAUAAUUUUCUCCUUGCCAAAAGACACGAGAAUGCAAGCAAAAAGGUU
rnacentral:lncRNA from 1 species